GACGAACGCUGGCGGCGUGCUUAACACAUGCAAGUCGAACGGAAAGGCCUGCUUUCCCUUGUGUGUUGCGGGUACGCGAGUGGCGAACGGGUGAGUAACACGUGAGUGAUCUGCCCCCAAAUUGGGUAUAAGCCUGGGAAACUUGGGCUAAUUCGCGAUAGGACUGCAGGGUGGUGCGUGUGGUGGCAAACGAUUGUCUAGUGGUUGUGGAUGAGCGGGCGGCCUAUCAGCUUGUGGGUGGGGGAAUGGCCUACCAAGGCGGCGACGGGUAGGCGGCCUGGGGUAGUGGCCCGGCACAGUGGGCCUGCGAUCCGGCCACGGUUCCUACGGGAGGCCGCAGUCGGGAAUAUUGCAUUAGGGGUGGUAGCCUGAUGCAGGGACGCCGCGUGGGGGAUGCCGCCCUUCGGGUUGUAACCUCCUUUCGACCGCGCGGAAGCCCCUUGGUUGGACGGGUGGUGACGGUAGUGGGAGAAGAAGCACCGGCUAACUACGUG
rnacentral:rRNA from 1 species